rnacentral:lncRNA from 1 species
AUGUCCAGUCAGUUUACUUUCUCCUCCAAGGUAUUUAGGAUCUGGAUAGGAUGGAAGACAGCCUUAGAUUUCCACAGCCACUGCCAGAGUGGUCCCGUUGUGUGGGGACUGGUCAGCUCCUGCAUGGCCACCUGCCAGCACCCUCCCCGAGACAUCUCUAUCCCCCAUCCCCCACCUUCUCUCCCCUCCUCUCCUUUUUCUUUCUUCUCCCCUCGGUCUCCUAUUCUCUCUCCCUCCUCCCUCUCAGCCUCUCCCUCCUCCCACAGCCUCUCUGUUCUCCCUCUCAGCCUCUCCCUCCUCCCUCAGCCUCUCCCUUCUCCCUCUCAGUCUCUCCCUCCUCCCUCAGCCUCUCCCUUCUCCCUCUCAGCCUCCCCCUCCUCCCUCUCAGCCUCCCUCCUCCCUCUCAGCCUCCCUCCUCCCUCUCAGCCUCUCCACCUCCAGCCUCCCCCUCCUCCCUCUCAGCCUCUCCACCUCCAGCCUCCCCCUCCUCCCUCUCUGCCUCCCUCCUCCCUCUCAGCCUCCCCCUCCUCCCUCUCAGCCUCCCUCCUCCCUCUCAGCCUCCCUCCUCCCUCUCAGCCUCCCUCCUCCCUCUCUCCUCUCCCCCUCCUCCCUCUCUGCCUCCCUCCUCCCUCUCUCCUCUCCCCCUCCUCCCUCUCAGCCUCCCUCCUCCCUCUCAGCCUCCCUCCUCCCUCUCUGCCUCCCUCCUCCCUCUCAGCCUCCCCCUCCUCCCUCUCAGCCUCCCUCCUCCCUCUCCCCCUCCCUCCUCCCUCUCAGCUCCCCUCCCUCCCUCUCAGCCUCCCUCCUCCCUCUCAGCCUCCCUCCUCCCUCUCAGCCUCCCUCCUCCCUCUCUGCCUCCCUCCUCCCUCUCAGCCUCCCCCUCCUCCCUCUCAGCCUCCCUCCUCCCUCUCUGCCUCCCUCCUCCCUCUCAGCCUCCCUCCUCCCUCUCGCAGCCUCCCCCUCCUCCCUCUCCCUCCCCCCUCCUCCCUCUCUGCCUCCCUCCUCCCUCUCUCCUCUCCCCCUCCUCCAUCUCAGCCUCCCUCCUCCCUCUCAUCCGCUCUCCCCCUCCUCCCUCUCAGCCUUCCCUCCUCCCUCUCUCCUCUCCCCCUCCUCCCUCUCUGCCUGCCCUCCUCCCUCUCCCUCCCUCCUCCCUCUCACCUGCCCUCCUCCCUCUCUCCUCUCCCCCUUCUCCCUCUCUGCCUCCCUCCUCCCUCUCUCCCUCUCCCCCUCCUCCCUCUCUGCCUCCUCCUCCCCCUCUCGUCCUCUCCCCCUCCUCCCUCUCAGCCUCCCUCUCCCUCUCAAGCCUCUCCACCUCCAGCCUCUCCCCCUCCUCCUCUCGCCUCCUCCUCC